rnacentral:tRNA from 1 species
GCCAGGGUGGCGAAAUUGGCAGACGCGCCAGACUUAGGAUCUGGUGCCGAAAGGCGUGCAGGUUCGAGUCCUGUCCCUGGUA